GUGUCAGCCGCCGCGGUAAUACGGAGGGUGCAAGCGUUAUCCGGAUUCACUGGGUUUAAAGGGUGUGUAGGCGGAUAUUUAAGUCAGUGGUGAAAUCUCCAGGCUCAACCUGGAAACUGCCAUUGAUACUAUUUAUCUUGAAUUCUGUUGAGGUGGGCGGAAUACAUCAUGUAGCGGUGAAAUGCUUAGAUAUGAUGUAGAACACCGAUUGCGAAGGCAGCUCACUAAGCAGACAUUGACGCUGAGGCACGAAAGCGUGGGGAUCAAACAGGAUUAGAAACCCGCGUAGUCC
rnacentral:rRNA from 1 species